rnacentral:lncRNA from 1 species
UCAUUGCACACAAGGGAAGGAGAGGACCAGAGGAGGACAAGGACCCGCCGUCGCCCAGAGUCCACACACCUUCGAUUCGAUCUUCGAGGCUUCGACAUAGUCCCAAUACUCCACAUCGGCAACUCAUCGGCGACCUCGGUCCACCUCGGCAUCCCGGCUCCGUCUUCUCCAGUUUGCCACCACAUCUUCCACGGUAGAAGCUAAGCAAUCAGUCAAAGUAAUAAGCGCCCAUCUCCCAUCAGUUGUCUUGAAUUUUUGUUUCAUUCUUUGUGUACUGUCCUGUAUGUACAUGGUAACUUGGAUGCACUGUUCUGCAUUACUAGUGACUUGUUGUUUUAUUUUUGUUUAUUCUGCAUAGAUGUUCAUAUGAUGUUAGUGGAGAAUCAGGGUUCUACUAGUAUUUGUAUUUUACUGAUGUUAGUUGUAACUUGUAUUUUGGAAUUCUUGUUAAUUCUUAUUGCGUAUAGAAGAAUGAUCCCAUGAAUUCUAAUUAUGUUCCUGAUUUUUAGAUGGUUCAACCUUGUGGAGUUGGUGAUGUUGAGAUGACUGAAGAGGAAGUGCAAGUCUAUGAAGAAGAAAGAAAGAAAGGAGGAGCAUGAACAGAAAAAAGAAGCAGAUGGAUGAACAACCUGGAAGAAGGCAGAAGAAGAAAAGAUCACACGCAUGGGAUCACUUUUCUAAGGUACUAGUAGUGUGCUCAAGCAAGCCCAAGGUUAGGCUUCUUCCACUUAUGCACAACUUUGAAUCACUUAGUAGCAGCUAUGGUUGCUAGUUUAGAAUGGUACUUUAAUGUACAAUAAACUGUUUUCAUUUUUUUCGAAAAUGAGAUGCUCUUAAUUAGAGGUGUUACUUAUUAUGUGCAUCUUAAUCAAUAACAUAAACUUGGAGGUUUUAUAUUUUAGUAAAUUAUGUAUGUAUUGUUCUUCAUCGUUGUACACAUGAACUUGUUAUUGUCGUGAGUAUUCCAAGAAAAGCAUGGUUCUUCCUUCCAGUUUAAGAUAUUUUUAUUUUCAUAUUGUUUUCAAAGUUUUAGUUGUCUAUUUAUGUUGCUCUGACAGGGAAUAUUAUAAUGAUGUGAAUGAUUGUUGGUUCGUCCAGAAUUUUCAGGAGGUGGCAGAAGUUGUCGUUAUAAUAGCAACAAUGAAAUGGAAUAUGCGGACUGGACAACUUUGUGGCAGAGGAAGCUAAUGUUCAUUUAAAGUUGUGGAAGAUACUGAUGUAUACAAGUAGAUUUGAUAUGCAAGAUGAUGUAUCUGUAGUACUUUGCUUGAUACUGAUUACUAAGUUUGAAAACUUGUUUAUGUAAAUUUGUGUUCAAAUCUGAUUCUGUUUAUAAUGCACUUAUAUGUGCAAUGUGUAUGUGUAUGUGGAUUUGAUCUAUGGAAUAUCUUAAUGAAUUGUAAAACCUACUUUUAUAUUUGUCUGAAUCAAGUGGAGGCGUG